rnacentral:rRNA from 1 species
AGCCAUGCAUGUCUCAGUACAAGCAUCCUUGUACCGUGAAACUGCGAAUGGCUCAUUACAACAGUUAUAGUUUAUUUGAUCGUGCGGAGCUACGUGGAUAACCGUAGGAAUUCUAGAGCUAAUACAUGCACCGUCGCCGAAGAUCUUUGGUUAGACUUCGGCGGGAUUUAUUAGAUCAAAAACCAAUCGCUUCUUUCGUUUUUUCGAGUAGAGGCGUGGUGGGAUGAAUCAUAAUAACUUAACCGAAUCGUAUGGCCAACAUUAGGCCGACGAUAAAUCAUUCAAAUUUCUGCCCUAUCAACUUUCGAUGGUAGGGUAGUGGCCUACCAUGGUGUUGACGGGUGACGGAGAAUUAGGGUUCGAUUCCGGAGAGGGAGCCUGAGAAACGGCUACCACAUCCAAGGAAGGCAGCAGGCGCGCAAAUUACCCAAUCCUGAUUCAGGGAGGUAGCGACAAGAAAUAACGAUAGUGGGCUCGUUCGAGUCCGCGCAUCGGAAUGAGGAUAAUUUACACCCCUUCUCGAGGAUCCAUUGGAGGGCAAGCCUGGUGCCAGCAGCCGCGGUAAUUCCAGCUCCAAUAGCGUAUACUAAAGUUGUUGCAGUUAAAAAGCUCGUAGUCGAAUGAAGGUUUCUUGUAUAGCGCGGACGUCUAGGUGCAACUUAGAUUAGUUUGCGCACAAGAACCUCCCUUGUGUGUCUCAGAGGAGCAAAUAUUUAUUUAUUUUGAUCCAUUUGCGACACACACAUUACUGUGAACAAAAUAGAGUGUUCAUGGCAGGUCAAUUUAGGCUUGAAUACCUCAGCAUG